rnacentral:misc_RNA from 1 species
AAAGUCGUAACAAGGUUUCCGUAGUGAACCUGCGGAAGGAUCAUUAAUAAUUUUUAGGUUGAAAUUGAAACCUAAAAAUAUAAUAAUCCUACCCUUUGUGAAUUUGUUGUUUGAAAUAAUUUUUUAAAAAAAUUAUUUAUAGUUUGUCUAUCCUGAGUUGUAAGAGAAGUAAUUCUUGAAGACUUAGAAUAGGCUUUAUCUAUAAUAAUGAUUUAAAGACCUUUUUUAAAUUAAACUUUUGUAUUCAUUUUUCUAAAUUUAUUUUAAUAAUUUAAAAACAACUUUUGACAAUGAUCUCUUGGUUCUCGCAACGAUGAGAACGCAGCAAAAUGCGAUAAGUAAUGUGAAUUGCAGAAUACGUGAAUCAUCAAUCUUCGAACGCAUAUGCACUUUUUAGUUUACUAAAAAAGUAUGUCUGUUUGAGUAUCAGUAAAAUAUUCUCAUGAAAAUUAUUUUUUUAUGGUUUGAGUGUUUUACAACGAUACAAGUGUUUCACUUUAAAUUGACUUUAAAUUGCCUAUUAAUUUAGUAAUUUUAAAAUGCAUAAAAUUUCCCGUAAAAGGAAUAACCUAUCAUUUAAAAUUAACUGAUAUUAAAGCCUUGAUAAAAGGAAAUUUAAUUAAAUAACUUGAUCUCAAAUCAGAUAAGAGUACCCGCUGAACUUAGCAUAUCAAUAAGCGGAGGAAAGAAACUAACAGGAUUCCUAGUAACGGCGAGUGAAGCGGGAAGAGCUCAAAUUUGAAAUCUUCAAGGUUUGACCUUGACGAAUUGUAGUUUAAAGAAGUGUUUUCGUUAGAGGAGUGGUAAAAGUUCUUUGGAAUAGGACAUCAUAGAGGGUGAGAAUCCGUAUUGACCAUUCUUUCUAGCUUGUGAUACACUUCAAAGAGUCGAUUGUUUGGAAUGCAGUCCAAAAUGGGUGGUAAUUCAUCUAAAGCUAAUAUUGGCGAGAGACCGAUAGCGAACAAGUACCGUGAGGGAAAGAUGAAAAGGACUUUGAAAGAGAGUUAACAGUACGUAAAUUGUCAAAAGGGAAGCGUUUGACACCAGUGUGUUUUUCCGAAAAUCAAUUAAAAUAAAUUCAUGCCAGUUGUAUUGACUAUAGCUUGCAAUUUGGUUUUGGUUCUUUUUGAUGCACUUUUCGGUUAACAAGUCACAUCAAUUUCCUUUGCUGUAAAAGGCAGGAGGAAGGUGGCUUCAAUUUCGGUUGAAGUUUUAUAGCCUUCUGUCUCUGCAGUCGGGGAGAUUGAGGUCUGCAGCGUAGAUCCUUCGGGUUAGAUACAUUCGUGCUAAGUUAUAGCCUUUUAUAGACACUGUUGACUAUGGGUCAG